rnacentral:rRNA from 1 species
UACGAGGGGGGGCGAGCGUUGUUCGGAAUUAUUGGGCGUAAGGGUGCGUAGGCGGCCUGACAAGUCUGAUGUGAAAUCCCUGGGCUCAACCCAGGGCCUGCAUCGGAAACUGUCGGGCUUGAGUAUGGGAGAGGUGAGUGGAAUUUCCGGUGUAGCGGUGAAAUGCGUAGAUAUCGGAAGGAACACCUGUGGCGAAAGCGGCUCACUGGACCAUUACUGACGCUGAGGCACGAAAGCUAGGGGAGCAAACAGGAUUAGAAACCCGGG